AAAAAACUGUGUUUUUUCAUUAGUGUAUAUAAUUCACAAAAGCACCACAAAUGUGCUAACGGAUACAGACUAGAAAGUACAGCAGACGAUAAUAAUUAACAUAAGAUCAUGGUAAUGAGCUUAACUAUGAUUUUCUUUUUAGUUAGUUAGUUAGUUAGUUAGAGAGAGAGAAUAACAGCGUCCAAACAAUAAUGUGAAUUAUUUAUUGCUCAAGAUAAAGGUAGGAGAAUCCUAUGAGCUUUUCCUUCUCUCCACAGCGCUUCCACAACAAACAUAUACACGUUUAGACUACCACUGGAACUUUGCUAUGUCCAAAGAAAAAUAAGGGACAAAGGAAUACAGUGCUAAAAUUUGCAGCCACUAAUGCAAGGCGUUAAGGUAGGUUGUCUACAUCACACCCUUGGUGCGGCCCUUCCCCACCCUGCGUGAAUGCGGGAUGCUUUUUGCACCGGACUGCCCUUUAUAUAUAUAUAUAUAUGUAGAAAUACAGGGGAUUCUUGUAACCAUAUGUCGAUAAUCAACCGUCUCUUCAAAGGCCUUGGAUAAAAUAGGCACUUUCUUUUUUAUUGAGAACUAUAAAGGCAUGUUAAACACUAUGCAAUCUGACCUCUCCGCGUGAAGUGAAAAAUAAUUAGCCCUACAAUGUGUAGGUGAUAUUGCUCCACAAUGGGAGACACUUGGUAACCUUCAUUCCAUUGUGGGAAGUUCUCUCCAGAUCUGAUUGAAAAACAGAGACUAGUAAACUCUGGUGUCAAUAUGAUGUUAAUAGCAGGUAGCAGCUGCACCAUGGAUUCUUGUAGCAUAUCAACCAUCUGCCGGAGACAGCUGACACCUCCAAUCAGGUUGUUUUGGCUAAUAACAGAAGAACCGAUAUAAAGAGCGAUAUUUCAACCACAAACUUCGGGCUCGAUACAUGUUCAAACAACUGCUGCCACCUGUAAGUUCAACCAGUAGAGAGCUGCUGGUAAAGCCUGUUAUCCAUUACCAGAAUGUUCACCACAUUCAGAAUGGUGGCUAUAGACGUAGACUAUUCAGCAAAAGAAAUACUAAAGCACUAUGCCCGUUAGAUAAUAAUGUGACAACGCUCCAGUAUUCAUACAGAAAGUAUAAACAUUCAUGAUAAGAGAGCAUAUGUGGACAUUUCUUGAACUCUGAGACCCCCCCCCCCCCCAAAAAACCAACCCCCACACCCUCAAGAAAGAAAAAAGGAAGAGCUAUCCUAACCUGAUGUAGUUAGCGAAGUUCAAUGAGUAGCAGAAAUCGGCAGGUCACAGCAUUCAGUGUUGCCUAUCAACUAAUUUCGAUCAUGUAUCUACUGUAUAGUAUAAUAAUGGGAGAGAAAGCUAUACCCCAUUAUCUAUGUCUUUUUUUGGCUAGAAAAAUAACUUAAUAAAACUCAUUUCAAUUGACUUUUAAGAGUAUGUAUUGAGGUGAACAACUCAAAAUCAUAUAGAAAUAUCCACAUGCAUCAAAGAUAGCACAAAAUUUCCAGUUCUUAAAUUUUAAGUUACAAACAAAUUAAAAGAAACGGGAAACUUACAAAUUUACUUCUCCAUCCGUGUAAUCUCCAUUAACAAUUUCCUCCUGUGCAAAUUCUUCCAUUAUAGUACGCUGCCGUUCAUUCAACACUCUACAAACAAAAAAACAAUGAUAACCAAGCUAAAAAGCAUCCUUGAAUUUAUGUCCGUGCAGCAAACUCUUGCGGAAGUUCCAGAUGAGCAACAGAAAAAUAGAGAAAUAAAUGAAAACUGUCUGGUCAGAAGCAUUUCAUCUGAUAAGAUACUCCUUUCCCAUAAUACUUGACCUACUUCGCUUUCCUUGCUUAUUCAUCCCUUAAUUUUUAAUCUCUUUCUUUAAAUGGAAAACUUUCUUAACAAUUCAAACUAUAAUAUUAAUAUACAUAUUCUCAACUAACUUACUUCACAUUUCCACUCUGCGAACAAUCAUUUAAGUACUUCUCUAACACACUGCGUAAUAAUCAAUUAUAACAUUCUAACCGUAACAACCACGCAAGUCAAGCUAAGUCACAUAUUUUGGAUAGUGUGAGCAAACUAGCAAAAGCACUAACAAACUGUGAUGCCCAUGUUGAGGGGCAAGCUGACUAGGAUGGGUCAAGAAGAAGGAUUGACAGGCUCCUACGCUUCUGUUCAAGGAGUACAUAAGACACCUUGGGCAAACCUCACACCGAAAAGGUAGAGGAGAGUGAAAUGUUAUAUAAGACAACACGAGUUCACAUGAUAUACGAGCUUAUGGUACCAGAGUCGAAUUUGGUAUGAUUGUGGGGCAAACCUCAGCGAGCAUGCUAAGCUCCCAAGGGGGUGUAUGUGACACCCAUGAGAGAGGGUGGAUCAAAGAGAAGAAAAGAUAGACUUAUCAGUAGCAAGCUUCCGAAAGGAGAGGUGAAUAUGACACAUUAUACAAAUCUCAUAUCAAAAAGGAAGAAGAAAAUUAUGUGCUAUAUAAGAGUAAGACAAAGCAUAAGUUCUCAUGGUAAGCGUGCUUUCCGGUCGAUGUGGGGUAGCCCAACGGACAAAUCCAUGAAGUUUGCUGGACCAAAGCGGGCAAUACGUGUCAUGAGCUUGAAUUGCAGCUAUAACAUAGGCAGAUCUUACUGGGUCCGGAAAAAAUAAGAGUUCAUUUUAAUAUCUUCCCUUUUCAGGCUUUGGAGAGGUGACUCUGUUCUUUCAACUAGAGGUGGCAGCUUUUUCCUCAGUAAACAAAAGUUCACUCUUAUGUUCCUUCCUUUUUUUCAACUAGAGGUCGUACAUUUAUUUCUUCUAAAUUUUUGUAAGGGAGAAAGUGAUAAAUAAGUUUAAAGCAGCUUUACAACAAUAUUUAAGAUAGAUGUCGAUACAUUAGGAAAAGGGAUGAUAAUGAUAUUUUACACCUGAUUGAGCCAUGAUGGAAAUCCUGACUUUGGACAUUCAUUAAAAGAAAGAAUAUUACAUGCAAAACCAUUUUUGGGUCAUCACUUGCUUUUAAAUUAAAUUCUGUGUUCUGAGGCCUUGAAAACCUCAUUUAGCGUCACCUCGAUUUGCGUGCGCAGUCCGGGCGCGUAGCCAGAAAGCUUAAAUACGAAAAUCUGUGAAAAAUGAUAAGUUUUAACUGUAAAAUGAAUUAAUUUGACUUCGGUCAAUGUUUUGGGUAAACGGACCCGAACCCGUAAUAUGACGGUCCCGAAGGGUCCGUAGGAAAAUAUGGGACUUAGGAGUAUGUCCGGAAUCGAAUUCCGAGGUCCCAAGCCCGAAAAAUGAAUUUUUAAAGAAAAUUAUUUUCUGAAAUUGUUUAAAGGAAUUUGAAAUGAAUUUCGAUUAGAACAUGUUGGUAUCGGGCCCGUAUUUUGGUUCCGGCGCCCGGCACAGGUCUUAUAUAUGAUUUAAGACGAUUCUAUAGAAUUUGGUGAAAAACGGAUGUCAUUUGACGUGGUUCGGACCUAAAUUGCAAAAUUUGAAGUUUUAAGAAGUUCUCAUUGAUUUUGAGGUUUAAUUCAUUGUAAAUGAUGUUAUUUGGUGAUUUGAUCGCACGGAUAAGUUCGUUUGAUGUUGUUGAGUUAGUACGUAUGUUUGGUUAGGAGCCCCGAGGGCUCGGGUGUGUUUCGGAUGUGUUUCGGAAGGUUUUGAACUUGGGAAAAGUUGCAGAAUUGCUGCUGCAGGUGCACAGAUCUUUUGUGCAUCGAGAUCGCGUAGUAACACUCGCGAUUGCGAAAGGGAAAUGGGGACAGGGGUGGAUUUGUUCUUCGCGAACGCGAAGCCACAGUCGCGAACGCGGAGCACUGGGGGGUUGCUCAUCGCGAACGCGACCUGUGUGAUGCAAACGCGUAGUGUAAACUGGAGGUGGGCUGGGGACUUGUCAUUUCUUCUACGCGAACGCGUAAUGCUGUCCGCGACCGCGAAGGUCAGGGAGGCUUACCCUUCGCGAACGCGUAGAGGAAAUCGCGAUCGCAUAAGUCCACUUACUGGCAGCUCUUCGCGAUCGCAACAAUGUUCUCGCGAACGCGAUGAACACUGUCGCCCAGCACUUAAAACAGUAGCCAUUACGGGAUUUCUUCAAAAUUUCAUAACUUCUUCUUUUCAACUCCAAAUUGGGCUAUUUUUGAAAGGGGAUUUCACCACCAAUUCAUAGGUAUGUAAUCUUAGACUCAUUUUCUUCAAUUUCCAUUAACACCCAUUCGAUUUCUAGGCUUAAAUCAUGUUCUUAAGGGUAGAAAAUUAGGGAUUUGGGUAGAGUUAGGGCUUUUUGAUUAAUUGUGAUUUAUACCUCGUUUUGGGGUCGAAUUUUGGAACUAAUUAUAUAUUCGGGCUCGUGGGUGAAUGGGUGAUCGGGUUUUUGUCUGAACCUCGUGUUUUGACCAAGCGGGCCCGGGGUCAAUUUUUGGAUUUUUGGGAAGAAUGAUUAGAAAGCUAUAAUUAAGUAUUGGAAUUGGAUUGUUUAGCAUUUAUUGAUGUUAUUAAGUCGAUUAUGUCUAGAUACAAUUGAUUUGGAGCCGAAUUCGAAAGGAAAGGCGGUGUUUGAGGCUUGAGUUGGUCGUGGAAGUUUGAGGUAAGUGUUCGGUCUAACCUUAGCUGAGGGAUUAAGAGUUGAGUCCUAUUUGCUAUUUGCUUGUUGUUGAGUACGACAUAUAGGCAUGGUGAUGAGUAUCUAUACAUUGGUGUCAAGCAUGACCGUGAGUCUUAAAUUGCAACUUGUUGGGUUCUUAAAUAAUAUUACGGAUGCUUUAAUUGAUGAUUCUCGAUAUUGAGCAAGGAUUAAGUUUGUUUACGUGGAAAUUACUAAGUUUGAGUAUUGGUGAUAGCUGAAAUGGUUAGAUGUUGGAUUAAGAUUGGUUAUAGUUGUUUCUCCUUUGCUGGGAUGUAUUUAAUUAUGCUGUCGAUUCCCUUGCCGGGAUAGUGUGGUUCGUUAUUGGUCCCUUGCUGGGACUGCUGUUAUGAUUAUUGUUGAUUGUGUAUUUGGAACGGGUUGCGCGCCGCAACAUUAUUAUAUAUGGAUCGGGUUGCACGCCGCAACAUUAUUAUAUAUGGAUCGGGUUGCACACCGCAACAUUAUUAUAUAGGGAUCGGGUUGCACGCCGCAACCAUGUUAUGUUAGAUCGGGUUGCACGCCGCAACAAAUAUUAUAUUGGAUCGGGUUGCACGUCGCAACAGUGUUAAAUGAUAAGGGAUCGGGUUGCGCACCGCAACAGUAUUAUUAUGGUUUUGCUAUAGAUUUUGAACUGUCCUCUCAUAUUUCUCUUAAGUUUCUGUUAGAUUUGAUAUGUUCCCCGAAGCAUGUACCCCCUCCCAUUUAAACUGCUUAUUCCUGUUUAUUUUUCCGUUGUAUAUUAUAUAAUUGCACAGGUUUAUCUUGAGUCUGGUCCUAGCCUCGUCACUACCUCACCGGGGUUAGGCCAGGCACUUACCAGCACAUGAGGUCGGUUGUGCUGAUGCUACACUCUGCACUUUGUGAAGAUACCGGAGCAGCACUGGGACAGUAGCACUUGGGGAGCCCGCCUUCAGUCCAUCCAGAGACCCCGAGGUAGUCCUGCAGGCGUCCGCAGGCCCGACGUCUCUUCUAUCUACUUAUAUGUUCUGUUUUCAUUUGUAUCCGAGACAGACUGUAUUUCCUUUUUCAGACAUAUGUAUGUAGUAUUCAUAGACAUUCCGUGAAUAUUGUGACACCGUUUCUGGGUAGAGACGCAUGUUGGCAUUUUCGUAUUGAUUUUGAUAUUAUAUUAGUCUAAGUCUUCCGCUUAAUUUCAUCUUUCGCUAUUAUUUAAAUGUUGAUCACUUGUUAUUACAAGUUGUUAAAAGGAUUAAAAUGAAAGAGUUAAAAUUUCUAAAUUUCGUGGCUUGCCUAGCUUCUACGAGUAGGCGCCAUCACGACUCCCAAGGGUGGGAAAUCCGGGUCGUGACACAUUCAAGUAGACAACUAAUGCCUAAUUCUAUAAUGAGGGCUACAGUGGAGGUAUACCUCAACUCAUAUCUAUCAAUACCUCGAUAUUACCAGCACCUAGCUACUACUGACACCAGGUUGGUUCAAAUUCAAAUAACAAUUUUGCCAAAAAAAGCAAAAUAAAUAAAUUAAUUAAUAAGAAUAAUGAUAAUAAUAGUAAUAAUAAUCUAUUUGUUGUUAUUGUUAUUGCUCCUUUGUCGUCCUUCCUUAAGCCGAGGGUCUAUCGGAAUUGUAAUUUAAAUUACAAUCCUAAAUUUUAGGACUUUAAAAUCAAUUAAAAUUUUGCUUAUUUAACUUUUCCUUAUUGAACUAGGUAGAAAAUCCUAAUAUUUAGUCCUUCAAAAUCAAUUAAGAGUUGUACCUUAUAUAAAUGUUAGAAACUACUAUAAGUUAGCUAAGUUAUACAAGUCAAAAACACAAUGAUCUUAAUAACACAAAAGAUCCAAAGCUUACAUAUGAUUUGUUUAUUGAAAAUAGAAUUCUUAUUGCAUAAAGUUAUAAUUACUAUUGAAUAUUCUUAAGGAGUUGAAUUAUCAGAAAGACUAAGUUACUUCAUUAAUAUUGAGAGCAAAUAAUUAAAUCUUUGAAUUAAUUAAUUAGCAAAAGAAUUCAAUUCAAUUUUUUUUCCAAAAUUAUCAUAUAAGUAAAAUUAUUUGACAAGUUAAAAAACUCUUAAGGUACAUUAAUUUAUUUUCAUAACAAGCGCACUAGCGGUGAGAGAAAUAAAAACUAAAGCAGAAUCGAUUAUAGUAUAAAUUUAAAAGUCAAAUCGGUAAAAAUAUAGAUUUGAAGCAAUAAGGAUAAAAUAGUAGAAGACAACAUGUAUUAUAAAUGAGUUGUCAUUUCAUUUUUCUUUCUUUCUUGCAUUCGGUCAAAAAUGACAAUGGUUAUAUACUUCUUUUAUAUUAAGUUAUUUGUAUUAAAAUUAAUUCAAGAUUAGUCAUUUGUUAAAACUUUACAUUGUCAUUACCAAUCAUGUAGGAUGUAUAUUGCCAACCUUUUCAUUCUCAAAUUUUUAAAAGACUUAAAAAAAAAAUUAAUAUAUGUUAUUUGACAAAUCUAUAAGAAUUAUGAUAAACGUAUUUUUAUGUUUUGUGUUCGGUAUUAGGUCAGAUAAAUAACAAUAAUUUUCAUAAGAUAUUUCAUCAUAAGUCCUCAUAAAUCAAUAAGACAUUUGUAAAUUUUUAUGAGAUAAGAUUCUUCAUAUUUUUUUUGGUCAAAAGAUUCUUCAUUUUUUGAGAUAGCAACAUGGAAACAAUUAUCAUUUCAGGAAUUUUUUUUUUAACUUUUAUUUUGUAAGUUUAUAUAAUUUAAACAUUAUAAUACUUGCGUGAUAUUUUUAAAAUUAUGUAUUUAUUGAUAUGGAUACACGCAUACCCUAAACCUAGUAAUAAUAAUAAUAAAGGAAAGAGCAGGUGAUUAUAAAUCUGUAGAUGCAUUCAAUGUCCAAUUUGACUACCCAGACACUUUCAUACGUGACAAUAGAUAUUGCUAGUUUAUGGUUCAUUUAGUGAUACAAGUUAUCUGACCAGCUCAGAUCAAGGAUUGACUCAACUCACUGGUUCUAAGAAUGGGGCUAUCAUCCUCUCAUUUUACACAUUAGUGACCAUUUCACUCUUUUAAACACCACUUUGUUUAAUGCUCAGAGGUGUCAUCCCUACUAUCCCCAAUCUCUAAACAUCUGCAGCAUUUUGAAUAAAGAUUAGCUGUUCAACACUUCACAAAGGAAUCUCUCAAAGAUAUUAAUGGUGCAAUUACCUUGGGAAUGUUCAGGAUCCCCAUAAAAAAUUACUUAUUACCUUUAUGAGCACGCCCUUCCGAUGAAUUAAAAGGUUGUAUGAGUUAGUACAAAUUGUUCUUGUACAUCAGAUCGCAGAUCCUUUUUGAAGUCACUUAUCAUUUCUUCCUGCUCUUUUUUCCCAUGAGGAUGCAGGAUUAGCUAAUUUUGGUGCUUGACUCAAUAUAAAUCAGCUCAGGUAGCAUCCUUGAGUUUAAUAGCUUAAGAAACCCAUUAAAGACAUUUGUUAUUUCCUCCAAGCAACGCAAUUGUUAAGAUCAUCAAUUCCCUACCCCUACGCAUCCCCCCUACCCCCCUCUAAAGAGUCUAAUGAACUGUAAUCAUUUGGGAUAAAGGUGAUCUGGAAAUGUGAGAGAGAAAACAUACGUCGGAAAGUCAAUGCGGAACCUCACAUAUUGAUCUCCAUGGUUCACCAGAAACCCACUCUUUGGCAAACCUAAGUAUGACAGACAACAAGACUGAUCACUCAGAAGGAAGCAUAUCAAAUAGAUUAGAAGUCACUCUGACUUAAGCUAUGAUACCUUUGCCUCGUAGUACCAUAAAUUGUCCAGGCUGAACCCCCCUGGGUAUCUAAAAGGACCAGAAAUAGAAAACAGCAGCAAGUAUUGGUAAAAAUGAAAGUCAAAAAGGGAGAAAUACAGCGGUCGUAGCACAUGAAAUGAAACAAAACAAUGAAAAUAAAAUAAAUGGAAGAAAAACACCACGGAGUAAGCACUUGACUGAUGAUGAUUUUAUCAGGCAACAUAUGAAACAGUAAAGCAACUUCAGCAACUGGAAAUGCAUGACAGAAGCGACGGAAAUCUCUUUUUAUCAAAUCGUUGCAAUUGAUGUUCGAUCCCGAAGCCAAUUCCUUGCUUGUUUAUGAGCAUUCAAGUAGCUUCAGUUCUCAUCUCCCCUCUUUAGUCUGGAUUAGAAGACACUUUUUUUCCAACGAGAAUGGCCUUCAUUUUCAGAGAACUACAGGUGGAUAAAAUAGUCCGUAUUUUGGGAGAAUUGGUGCUAGUUUUGUCUUUUGCAAAAAUAUUACCCUUAGAGUUCUCAAAGCGCUCUUUCCCCAGACUCCACUUCAUAUUUGGAGCCAAAAACAGUUGAACCUCUAGACGAGGAAUUGAAAAACUUUACUUCGUAUCUUACACUACAGAUAGUUCACAAAGACAGCGCACUUGAAUUUUUUUUAAUUAUAAUUGGAUGGGGAUCCUUAGAGCAAUGGUGAAGUUGUCUCUGUGUGACCUAUAGGUCACAGGUUUGACCGUGGAAUCAGCCAUUGUCGCAUGCAUUAGGGUAGGCUGUGCAGCCCAUCCUCGGGACCCUGCGUCAAUGCGGGAUGCUUCGUGCAUCGGGCUACCCUUUUUUAUCAAUAACAAUUGAAGAAAAAUUUUUAAAAACCAAUUUAAAUAGAAUCACAGAACCAUGGAAUAGAUGACUAUCUCAACACAAAUAAGCAAAGGAUAAGCAAAAUCACUGCCAUUCAGUCAAAUUUGAAAAAACAACUGAAAUGGAAGAAUAAAGUUUAAACAGACGCAUUCAAUGCCACAAAUAUGCCAAAGGGGUCCCUCUCUGAAACCAAAAACUAAAUUGUGUCUUAUAUCUUCCACACAACUCUUUCCGAUUCUUCCUUUAUGCUAUCUUGUCCUUUAGGCAUUUAAACAUGCCAAUACGCAAUAACACAACUUCUACGAUUUGUUGCGGUGCAUCUGACCAAACCUUUUUUUCAUGCACUUGUGAUAUCUUAAAAGAAGUUAUUAAGUUUCAUCUCAUCGGAAUCCUUUCAUCUGUCCCUGAAGCUCAGUUUUCACCCACUGUGAUCUCUGUUUAGAACUUUUUUCCGUUUUUCUUUUAGUUAAGAUCUUUUUUGAAAAACUUUCUCCGACUCAUACUUUUCUUUCCGGCGACUACGGCAGCGGAGGGACUGUGUUUUAUACCAAUCAUUUACGUGAUUGCUUAAAAACUUGGUUUACGCAACUUCAUUAUGGAGAAUAGAAUAUACUUUACAGAGGGGGUGUAAAUCUUAUGAUAUAACUGAAAAGCAUAUGGAUGGAGAAUUGUGGUUUGAAUGGGUUGAGCGCACGAGAAACCUGAUGAGAAGAAUGACUUCCAGCAGGAAAAUUCUUUUGUGGUUAUGUGAUUUAUUGCAUAAAGCUUCUAAAAGAAGGGGUAAUGUCUCUAAUAGGUGGAGGACCAGGGAUCAUUUAUUCAACUUUUAUUGCUCACAAAAACACAACAGCUACGUGAGAUUUAUUAGUAUUGUUUCUGUACAUGGGGAAAGCAGAGCAGUUAUUAUUCUACCUGAAGUUGAAUUAAAUGCAGGGUGGGGAGAGAUAGCCUCUAAAAUAGAAAGGUUCAUUCACAGAAACUUUCGCUUUACAAGAGCAGCAGAGGUUCCAAAAUUACAUAAUGAUUUUGCUCAUACUCUACACUCAACCAAAUGAUCAGAAUCAAAUGCCAACAUCAGAGUUAUUCAACCAGAAAGCAGCCCUAUCAAGAUCGCUGCUUCAAUGCCAACAGACAAAAGUCUUUUGAAUAGGUGCAUCGUCGGCAAGUUCUCGAAAGAACUAUAUUUAAUUCCCUCACGCACAGAGGUUUGAAGAUGGGUAAACAAUAAGUGGAGUAAUGCUGUUGGAGUCUAUGAACUAAAUGGACUACAAUUUCUUUUCGAAUUCCCAACCAGAAGGAUGGCGGAGCAAACUAUGGAGAAACCUAGAGAUGGAAGAAUGCUACUCUAUUGCUGAGCUGGUGGUCCCCUACAGCAGUUUGUUAUCCUUCUGAAACAAAAUUCGACUGGAUCUGGGUGAGGAUUCUCGGACUCCCAUUACAUCUAUGGUCAUCAGAAAUCAUGAAAGCUAUCGGAGAAAAAUGUGGUGGCUGGAUUGAGACGGAGGAAGAGACGCAGCUGCGAAAUCACAUGAGGUGGGCUCGUAUCAAAGUUAAGGGACCGGCUGAAAAGAUCCCUAGAAUCGUAGAAGUAGAAGAAGGAGGAAUGCUUUUUUCCUUGCCAUUGUGGACUGAAAUUCCAACGACCGUUAAAGUUUUCCAAGAAGAGGCAGUAGUUGAAGUACGGCCUAAGUUCUGUGAUGAUAUAGUUACAGGCCCUAUUUUCAUAAAAGAGAGAUCUAGGCACGUGGGCUCAGUAACAGGGCCCUUUAAUUCAAAAGUUGACAGUUGUAUCCCACGUGCCCUUGAGCGGGGGAAUUGUUCUAACGAGAUUAGGGCAAAUACUAAAGUGGGCCGAACUCAGGAGAAGCCCAAGACUUUACAAAAGAUAAAAGAUCCAGAUUCCAGAAAAUUGGCUGAUGAAAAAAGCCCAAGUUCUAUUAUGGAUAGCUGUGGGGCCAAUCUAGCAAGACCUAAAACUUAUGUACCUCAAAAUUUUGGGCUCGAUGUUAUAAGUGAGGAACUGAAUAGGGAUUCUAAUUUACCCCAACAAAUGGAGCGACCCGACCUUCUAUUCCUAGAGAUAGAAGCGUGUAAACAUAGGGAGGUGUAUCUGAUAGAGCAAAUUGAAAAAUCAGCGGCUGCUCAACCGUUAUUAUCUCAAUUGGAAUAUGAUGGAAGUCACACAGAUCAUGACAUGCAAGAGGGGGAAAUUGGGGGGAGGUUCAAAUACUCGAAAAUCUGAAUCAACAACAGUUAAUUGAAUAUAGAGGUGCAGAUGCAUGGGAGAUAGAAGAUGUUGACCCAAUUCAAGUUCAAUUCCAAGAAGCUGAAAUGGAGGCAACUUUAUGGGUACAUAAGAAUAUAUUGAGACUGAGCAAGGAAUAUGGGGUAGUGUUCAAAGGCUGUGAAGGGGAGGCUCUAUCUCUUUUUAUGAAUUUAGAUGCCAAAAUGAAGGAGGAGAUGACAGAAACUCCUACUGCCAACUGUGGUAUUCCAAAACAAAAGGGGGCAAAGGAAGUGGAAAAACUGGUUUUCAAUGUGACGUACAAAGAUGAGGGGAAAAGAGCAAGGUGGAGGUCAAUUUCCAGAAGUGAACCAAGAAGAUAAAAAUUAUCUCGUGGAAUGUUUGGGGAUUGAAUAGAAGGGAAAAGAGAAGGUUAGUGAACAGUUUGAUACAAAGGUGGAAAGCAGACAUUUAUUGCUUUCAAGAAAUUAUGUUAGAUGGAAAUAUUGAACCAUUAGUCAAGCACAUAUGGACCAAUAGAAGGGUAGAGUUUGGUUGCUUGCAAUCAAAUGGGAGAAGUGGGGGAAUUCUUAUUUUAUGGGAUAAUAGGGCAUGGAGAGGAGAGCUGAUCACCACUGGAAUAUUCACAGUUACUUGUAGAUUCAGCUCGAUGACAGAGGAGUUCUCAUGGCACCUCACAGGGGUAUAUGCACCUUGCAACAGGGUGGAAAGAAAGCUUAUGUGGAUGGAAAUUGCAGAUACUAGGGGACUUUUUGAUGGUCCCUGGGUAAUAUGCGGGGAUUUUAACACAACUAGAUUUGUAAAUGAGAGGAGAAAUUGUAGGAGAAUGACAAGAUCCAUGAUAGAGUUCUCUGAUUUCAUUAAUGACAUGGAAGUGGUGGAUCCUCCUCUUAUCGAAGGAAGUUUUACUUGGGCAAAGGGUGACAAUCAGCAAGCUUUUUCAAGGAUAGACAGGUUUCUAUUCUCUACGGAAUGGAAUGAUGAAUUCAGGAAUAUUUCCCAAACACUAUUACCUAGAGUCUCUUCUGACAUGCUCCCUUACUGUUAGAAUGUGGAGAUUGGGAGAAUCAUAAGUCUUAUUUCAAGUUCGAGAAUUGGUGGCUCGAGGUAGCAGGUUUUAGUGACAUGGUGAAAACGUGGUGGCUUUCUUUUGAGGUACAUGGUAGACCUGAUUAUAUUCUGGCCUGCAAAUUGAGGAUGCUGAAAGGAAAACUAAAAGAGUGAAAUGGUACAAAUCAUGGCAACUUUGAAGUAAGGAAAACUCAACUUCUAAGUUCCAUGGUAAAAAUGGAUGUUGUACAGGAAACUAGAAAUCUAUCUGAAGAUAGAACUUUUGCAGAAGGCCAGCAUGUUCAUGGAGCUGGAAGAUAUAGCAAAAAAUGAGGAGAUAGCUUGGAGACAGAGAUCUAGAGUUCUUUGGCUCAAGCAAGGGGAUAGGAACACAAAAUUUUCAUAGAAUGGCAAAUGCACACAGGAGAAAUAACGCAAUUGAUAAGCUAGAAGCUAAUGGUGUGACGAUGGAGAAUCCAGAGACUAUAAAAGGGGAAAUUCUAUCAUUUUACCAAAAACUUUACACUGAAACAGAGGAAUGGAGACCAGAGUUUGUUUUGG
rnacentral:lncRNA from 1 species